AUCUCUAUACUUAAUAUAUCAUAUUUUGUUCAUCUAGGACAAGCUUCCAAGUGCAAGUGUUGCUCAAUCUUGACCAAUUGUAGGGACACUUGGUCAAGGAUUUAUCUCAUAUUCUAUCAUGGCUGGUUGAGGUUGAGGUAGCUAAGGUUGUGAUCUACUUGAAAAGAAGCUCCCUAGUCGUCCACUGCCUUAGUAGUGCACAACCUUAUCUUCAUUGUAAUGCACUACUUGAUGGCUGUUGUGAAUGCAUUGACAAAUAUGUAGAGGAAAUGCUUUGAACUAACGAGGCAAAUCAAUGCAGACUAGAUAGUCCAUAGUGGCUUAGACCAAACCCAAGUUGGCUCGACCAAGGAGCUUGAAUUAGAUUUUUGGGACACCAUGUCCCAACCAGGGUAAUCAAUGGGAAAAGGAAGGGUGAAGAAAGGAAGAUGAGUGUAAGGAAAGAAGACAAAUAGAUGGCAACUUAAAGACUACUCAAUCCAUAGAAAGUGUCUAGUAGUCCUUUGCUCUCCCAAUUCCCAAAUGAUGUCCUAAUGCUCCACUCAUCUGCCUUAAGUAGGCAAGGUAGUAAGUAAACCAAAGCCUAUUUACACCACCUACCAUAAGGCCCAGUAUCUUUACAAAUCCCUCCAAGAUCCUGUAAACAUUCAUAUUAUCAAUCAAGCCUUCAUAAGUUACAAUAUUUUGAACUUUAUUACAUUGUGAGGCAUUUUACAUUGCUUGGACACCCAAAUUGUGACAAGUAAAAUAUUUGAGAAGAGGCUAGGUGAAUGGAGUGAGUGGACUUAUAAAAAUGGGAAAUCAUAAAACUUAUGGUUAAGGAGUGGCAGUAACGCAAAAAAGCAGAGGAAAGUACUAAGGGAAAGCAAAAGUUGAUGACAUCUCAAGAAGGUGAAAUAGUGCAAUAGUCACGGAUUAAAUAUUUCCAAUGGGCUAUAAUACCUAAAAUCUAACAAGGAUUCAUAGAUGACCAGACCAUUCCAUUUACAGUAGCAAAUAGCUUAAACAUGCAGUGCAUCCAAGAAGAGUGAACGACCAACCAUUAUGGCAAUAAUGAUCGCAAGAUGAAGCAAUGAUCACGACUUCAUUCACUUAUUAAAAAUUUCAUCCACUCUCAAGGAAAGCUCAGAAUAGCUGAAAUUAAAAUCAGCCUUAUCAGGGCCUUUUCAUUUAUUCACACAUUAGCUUUCCCAAGGUCUCCAUCAAUGCAUUGUAUCCAUCACCCCCAUCCAUUUCAGAUUCACUAUUGUGUAAAGAUCUACCUGAAAUUCUCAAUUAUAGAGUAGAUAGCAUAAUACCAAAUUUCUUUGAAGAGUUUGAAUUCAUGUUUUACAACAUUUGAGUUUAUUUUUGAUGUUGGAAUAAAUAUAUGGUAUAUUUUAUCAAACUAAUACCAACGAAAUAAAUUGCUUCCUGAUCAGGUACCUAUUUGAAACUUGGCCAGAUAUGAUUCAAAUUGGCAGAUUCAGAAGGUGAUGCUUUGCAUUAGCUUUACAUUACAAGAAUGCUAGCAAGAAAUGGGCAUGAGAGUAACAAUAAUUAGUCUAAUUAUAAGCAAUUUAUUAACGUACAAGGAAUGACAUCAGUUGGGAAAAAUCGAUCACCACACUAUGAUAAAAAUUAUUAAAAAGCCAGCUGAUCCAAAAGAAAUUUGCUUCUCAAACCCAUACAUGGAAGAGAACCCAUAAGAGCAAGUCGACCUUACAAUUUGGCCUUCUUUGAAUUAAUCCAUCCUGUACCUAUAUUUCACUGCAGUAAAGAGGUUUCACAUUGUCCAAGAUUAAAAAUCAUGAUACAAAUGACACAAGUCGGAAGUAAAACAAAAUGUACAGGGAACAACAUGGUUGAUUGACUGGAUGAUCCAAGAGUCACCGUUUAAAAAAGAAAGGUAGAGGGGAUGGGCUAGAAAUAUAGGCUCAGAAAACCACGGUUUAAAUCCACUGAACAAAAAUAAAAUAUCUUUUGUCCAGUGAAAUAUCUUACGUGAAGUCAAUGAUAUCUUCCAGAUUCUAAAAGAGAACGCUCGGCAACGCAUGAGUGACAGUACACAUACCCACGUGGAAAUAUGACGAGAAAGGAAUCAGCAGAGGAAUUUCGCAAGAGUUUUAUGCUUUCCACACGGAGAUUCUUCAUCAACAAACCCUAUAUAUUUUCAUCCAUACACCAGCCGAUAUGCAUAAUCGCCAAGGAUAUCCAUGAGAUAAUGUCAGUUCGUUUAACUUGAAGUUGCUUAUAGGUUACAUGCAUGUCAGUAUUUUUUUUCUGGGACAGUCUACUACGUUAAAGUCUUAAGUUAGAUUCGAUGUCAGGUAAUAAAAUGUAGAGAAGGCCAUUGGGUAAUAUAAUGCUGCAAUGGGCAGUGCAAGGCAUCAAGAAUUUUCUCAGCAGGCAUUUCUCAACAUAUACACCCAGCAUUGAUGCCAUUACUUCAAGUAUUAUAUAUAUCAUUACUAUUUCCCAUAUGCUUCUGUGUUCAUAUACAAAACUAUACAAUUGUUCCAUGCAAUAUAUUUCUACCGUCCUAUGAUAUUAAAGAACAGCAUAGGAAAAUGUGUGACUUCAACUGGGAAAAAAAUACCACUGAGCCAGGGAAAAAAACCCAAGCAAUGUGGCCCAUUGGUCAUUUUCUAUCCGAAGGCAAACUUGGAAGAAGUCACAUCACAAGCAAGUCCUCCAUAGGUCCUUCGUAAAUUUCAGCUAUUGAAUACGACGCCUGUUUCAGCAUAUCUGAGGUUUGGCUUGGCUUAAGAAUAAGCAUGAGCGAUGAACCGAGAUGAAAAAAAGGAAGCACAUUUUUUGGGCUGCUGAACCAGAACUACAAUCUUUCACUUUUGCGAUUUGUUAGAAAAUUAUUCUCAAGAACCGGAAUAUGUUGAUGGAAAAAGCUACUCGAAAGAAUUAAAACGGGCUUAAACAUGAAUGACCCCACCAGGGAGACCCUAACAAGAUAAGUAUUCUUUCACUGCGAGGAAUUAUGCUCCUUAAUCCUCUGUUUCUGUGGGUAGUAUUCAUUCACGCUUCAACUUGAUCUAGGCUCAUUUAAUCCAGAUUCAGACUAUCCAAGACGAAGUGUUACGAAGAGAGCAUUAGAAUACAGAUCCCCACCAUCAGAAUACAAAUUUUGUCUGGCCAUUGAACCACCAGUCACUUGCUAUUCGAAGGCAAAUUUGGAUGAGAUUGCAUUUCUCUUAGGAGCAAUAUCUCCAAAGGUCCUCCAGAAAGUUGAAUGGGGUUUCAUCGAGAAAAUCGAGUUUUCUGUACGCGAAAUUAUUGAGACUUUGGCGGACGAAAACUAUAAACAGAGAAGCAGAGAUGCCGAGAGAAACACCUAGACAUCAACCUGCCAGCGAUUUAGAGAUCUGGAAAAUAGCCGAACCUAAGAGCUCAAUCCAGAAGCAGGAACGAAGGCCGUCGGCAGCCUCGGGAAGACUUAUUAUCGCAGGAUUCAUACGACGGCUGAAUCCCACCAAAUCCCGAACCAGCAGUCCAAACAAGUAUUGAGAAAAGGGCGGAGGGAGGAUACCGCUAUCAACUGUUGCAACGGGAUUCCCACAGUCAAAUAGAGAAGAGGCUUAUCCCUAGGGCAAACAUCGCGUCGCAACGUCCCAUAAACAGGCAGGAAAGAAGCCCCGAUGCUAAGUCUCCCCCGUCGACAAAUACUAAGGUAGAGAGAAUCUCUCAACUGUCUCCAUCUCGUCACGGCGCCAGUAUUAAUAGUCUCAAGUCCGCUAAACCCUAACCCUGAAUCACCUCUCC
rnacentral:lncRNA from 1 species